UGUUAGCCGUUUAUUUUCUUUUCUUUACGACCCGAUCUCAACUUUCGUUUUGUCUUGAUUGCGGCAUUACCUAGGUUAUCUUAAUUACCGCCGUCUAUUCAUCAUUAAAACCGACCUCGAAACUCGCUUCGACGCGACGGUUCGAUACGACGGCCUUUCUUCUUCUCCAAGCUUUUUAUUCUUUUGUCUCUUCUAUUUCUUCUUCAUCUUCCAGGAAUCCUUUCUUUCGUUUCCCUUCCCUUCAUCUUCUCCGAUUUUAUUUUCCACUUGACUUUUCCUCUUUUCCUCUUUUGACUAAUG
rnacentral:lncRNA from 1 species